rnacentral:ncRNA from 1 species
CGCUCAUCCAGAGAGGUGGAGGGACCGGCCCGAUGAAGCCUCGGCAACCGCUGAGUAACCCAGCAGGUGCCAAUUCCGGCAGAGCCCGCGGGAAAGCGGCAACUCUGGAAGAUGAGAG